rnacentral:rRNA from 1 species
AACGAACGCUGGCGGCAUGCCUAACACAUUCAAGUCUAACGAGACCUUCUGUUCUAUUUUCUCACGUGUUCUUAACGCGUUUUAACCUUCCCUUAGUUUCGGAAUAACUCCCCGAAAUGGGUUCUAAUACCGGAUAAUGUCUUCUGACCAAAGAUUUAUCGCCUUUGUAUUGGACCGCGUUGUAUUAGCUAGUUGGUAGGGUAAAAGCCUACCAAGGCGACGAUACAUAGCUGGUCUGAGAGGAUGAUCAGCCACACUGGGACUGAGACACGGCCGAGAAUACUACGGGAGGAAGCAGUGGGGAAUAUUGGAAAAUGGGAGAAAGCAUGAACAAGAAAUGACGCGUGAGUGAUGAAGGACUGAGGGUUGUAAAGAUAUUUUACAAGGGAUGAUAAUGACAGUAAAGGGAGAAUAAGCACCGGAUAACUACGUG